UACGACGUAUCAGAGUUUGAUCCUGGCUCAGGAUGAACGCUGGCGGCGUGCAUAACACAUUCAAGUCGAACGGACAAAGGGACUUCGGUCCCUGCGUUAGUGGCGGACGGGUGAGUAACGCGUGAGCAACCUGCCCCUGUGUGUGGAAUAACGUUUGGAAACGAACGCUAAUACCGCAUAAAGCAUAAGAAUCGCAUGUUUUUAUGCCAAAGAUUUAUUGCACAGGGAUGGGCUCGCGUCCGAUUAGAUAGUUGGUGAGGUAACGGCCCACCAAGUCGACGAUCGGUAGCCGGACUGAGAGGUUGAACGGCCACAUUGGAACUGAGAAACGGUCCAG
rnacentral:rRNA from 1 species